rnacentral:misc_RNA from 1 species
GCGGGCUGGACCUCUCGGGGUUACAGCCUUGCUGAAUUAUUCACCCUUGUCUUUUGCGUACUUCUUGUUUCCUUGGUGGGUUCGCCCACCACUAGGACAAACAUAAACCUUUUGUAAUUGCAAUCAGCGUCAGUAACAAAU